UUCAGAACAAAUACUUGGUUUCUUGUGUAUUUUUAUAUUUUAUUUAUGUUUUGGCUUUUCUAUAUUUUCAUAAGUGUUAUAUUUUUUCUAAUUUUUUAUCAUUUUUUGGUAUUUUUCUUAACGGUCAGAGAUAGUUGACCUAACAGGAGUGGCAAAAAGAAAAGGGAACAAAUGGAGUAGUGACAAAAGAGAAAAGCGCCAUUUUUUGAUGGUAGAAGAGAGAAGUGAAGUUCUUUCAGUGACGAAUCAGAUGUCCGUGACUUCUGCAAACUGGGAUGUAUGCACUCUGUUUGUGAAAAAAUAUACACCGCAUUUAGCAAUGAGGAAGCGAAUGAUGCCGUGGAACGUUGCAACGAUCGAUGCAUGCCUUAGUUUCUGCACCAAGGACGUUGACGCCGCUACUGUUGUUGCCUAAGCAAGUGCAUGCACUGGGGUUUCACGUGGUAGCCAAAGCCAUGUUGCUGUUAUGUCUUCAAUAAUUGGAUGCUUGCAUGCAUCCAACAAGCUGUGUCAUCUUGUUUCAGUUUCUUUCUUCUAUUUCGAAUAAGGGUCAGGGUGAUAUCAUUUUCUUUGGAGAAUGUGAUAAUCUAUGUCGAAUAUAACCUUGGCCAAUGAA